AUCUUUUCAUAAUCCUAAGUGUGGUGAUUGUGUUUCCAUGCUCACGUGAGAUAUGCCUCCCUCAAACUUUGUUAUGACAGCAGCACAUUACCCAUCUGAUG